GGGCGCGUAGCUCAGUUGGUAGAGCGUUCGCUUGACGUGCGAAAGGUUUCACAGGUUCGAACCCUGUCGCGCCCA
rnacentral:tRNA from 1 species